CACUUGAGCAGCGGUCUCCAACCACAGGGCCACAGAGCUGGAGCUGGAUCUACCAUGAAGGACUUCUGAAUCCAGGAAGAGAGACUGACUGGGCAACAUGUUAUUCAGGGUCUCCCUCUGUUGUCCAAGGCUGGAGUGUAGUAGUGCUAUCGCAGCUGACUGCAGCCUCAACCUUCCAGGCUGAAGCGAUCCUCCUACCUCAACCUCCCACGUGGCUGAGACUACAGGUGCUUGACACUAUGCCCAACUAAUAUUUGGAAUUUUCGUAUACGUGGAUUCCAGAGGGGUGACAGCGUAACGUGGGACCAUCCAGUUUCAGGAAAACAAGCUUAACACGCCCACUGAUUCGACAUUAUGCUCCUACCUCCCGGCAGCCUCUCCAGGCCCAGAACUUUCUCCAGUCAGCCUCUACAGACCAAGCUCAUGACUCACAAUGGCCUAUUUAGGCCCAUACCCUACGUCACGGCAGUCUCCGCAGAUGAGGCUACUGCCUCACAACAGCCUCCACAGGCACAGCUCCAUCGUCGGCCUUCCCGGGCCCAGCUCCGUCCUCUCGGCGGCCUCUCCAGGUGCAAAACUUCCUCGAGUCAGCCUCUCCAGGCCCAGCUCCUCCUGCCUCCCAGUGGCCUCUUUCAGCCCAGACCAGCUCAUGGCUCUUGGCGGCCUUCCCAGGCCCCGCUUUUGACUUUUGGUGGCCUCUUCAGGCCCAGAAGUUGACCUCCAGUGGGCCUUUGCAGGCCCGGCCUCCUGCCUCUCGAAGGCCUGCAUGGGCCUGGACUCACAGCAGACUCACAGCGGACUCUCCAUGCCCAGCUAGCUCUUGCCUCAUUGCGGCCUCCCGAGUCCAAAGCUCCUGCCUCUCGGCCGCUUCGGCAGGCCCAGCUCCCGCCUGCCAGCGGCCUCUUUAGGCCCAGCUCAUUCCUCACAACGGCCUUCCCAGGCCCCGUUUUUCCCUUCCGGCAGCCUCU
rnacentral:lncRNA from 1 species